rnacentral:rRNA from 1 species
UAAUACGGAGGGGACUAGCGUUGUUCGGAAUUACUGGGCGUAAAGAGUUCGUAGGCGGACAGGCAAGUAAGAGGUGAAAUCCCAGGGCUCAACCCUGGAACUGCCUUUUAAACUGCUUGUCUAGAGACCGGAAGAGGUUAGGGGAAUACCUAGUGUAGAGGUGAAAUUCGUAGAUAUUAGGUGGAACACCAGUGGCGAAGGCGCCUAACUGGUCCGGUACUGACGCUAAGGAACGAAAGCGUGGGGAGCAAACAGGAUUAGAUACCCUGGUAGUCCACGCCGUAAACGAUGAGUGCUAGAUGUUGGGAUCUUCGGAUUUCAGUGUCGCAGCUAACGCAUUAAGCACUCCGCCUG